UCCUACCUACAGCACAGGGACAGGAACCUGUGCGUGGGAGCCAGGCAGAGCUGACCCCUCCUGCUGACCAGCUGUGUGCUCUCCUGGGUUCCUGAAACCCACACCAGCAGUGGACACAGUAGGGUGCUGACGUGCAAAUCAGGAGGCCCCAUGGGCUCCCCUCUUAGCCCUGCCUCUCUCAUUUCUGAACUGGGGGCUGCGGGAGCACCUCCCCAUGGGCUCUGUGUGGAGUAAGAAAGCUCUCUUAGGACCAAACCGACUCAACCAGUGCCAGAAGAGUUAAUAUGAACUAGGAGUCUUCCUAAGCAGCAAUCCCAUCAGAAAAGUCCUUGAGUGGAAGAACAGCUGGACUCAGGGAUUCUACGUGUCAGCAUCCGACUCCUUGCUAGAUGCGAACAACCCAGCCAUGAAGCUCUAGGGGCUGCAGCCGUCCUGGAAGAAUGCCCGAUACACUGCUUAAUAAACACACGUUCGGCCUUCUGCAAAGAAAACACCCGAUUCUCUGAGCUACACCUGCAGAACCUCGGGCCUUUCUGCACCUGCCCAGCUCUGCAGAGUAGACGGCAGUUCCUGGCAGCUUACCAGGGCCACCGGAAGGGCUGGCUAAAACCCAGAUGGAAUUUCUGCCCCAGCAGCUCUGGUGGGAAGAAGGACUGGCUCUGCUGUUGAUCCCAGGGUCACAGUGAACCUGCUCCUUGCUCGGCCACUCUGGGUGGAGCAGCUCUGGACUGUGGCAUCACGGGCCGGGAUGGAGCUGCUCACAGCACUGCGCUAAUGUUCAGGGGGCGGGGUGGUAGGCUGACUGUUUCUUAUUGAACAAAAUAUUUCUAAGCCCCGGAUUUCUUCAACUGAAACAUGAAUGAAAUUACUCCAACAAUCAA